UCCCCCUUCUGUCUUCUCUGCUUAGCUCCCCCUGCCCCAGCACUGCACAGUGGAUCGUUCCAUAUGAUUUGGUCUGGAAGGAGUUCCAGAGCGGGUAGAGGAAUAGGUGAAGAGUGAUGUGGUGAGUUCCUUCCACACAAGUCAAUGUGCCGAGCUUGCCAUAUCCAAUUUUACCAUUUUCCACUUCUCUUACAGAAAGAAAACUGCCUCUGUGGGGACCUCAGCAUGCCAGAGACUAGACUGAGAUCAUCUUAUUUGAGCCGAGGCAGGAUUUGAUUAAACUCAGAUUAUCAGAGGUGUAAGAUUGUUUCAUUAGCAAAAAUGGGUCAUAUGAAACCCCCUUCAUCAGCUGCACCACAUCAUGACACGACGGUUCUCUCACAUUGCCUCUCUUCCAUGCAGCUGGAAUCGCUUUCUCGCUCAACACUAAACUAUGGGAUGUUUGCAAUUAAGCUCCCCCCCCCUUUAAAAGUAGCAUUCAGAGCUCCAUAAAGUCAUCUGGAAGUGCCAUGAACCUUUGGACUGAGAUGGAUGUGCACAUGGCUGCCAGGGCUGGAUAGCUAUUGGCCCAGAUGUGAAGAUUUGUGUUGGCACUGGGACACAGGAAUGUCAAAGUUUGAGAGACUCUGGCCAGAGUCCUGAUCUCUCCAGAUGGUCACAGGAUAUAAAGUGCAGCUGGGAGGCAAGCUCCAGAACGCUCCUAGAGAAGCUCUGAGGCUGCAGAAUUGCAUUAGACGAAAAGGAGGAGAUGAGGAAACUUCUGGUGCUGCUACUCCUAACCCUGGCAGCCUUCUGCUAUUGUGCAAGAGAUUCAAAGGACACUUUGGAAUCACACGAUGUUGAAGGUGUUAAGGUAAAAAGAGAAAUGGCUAAUGCCUUUGUGAGGAGGCAGAAGAGGUCCUACCCCUAUUAUGAAAGGUAAAAUCUUCCCUGCCUCACCAGUUGGGCUAAGGACUGAACUCUGUAUUGAUUAUUUCAGAGGGGGAUAGGAAGGCAGUGGGAUGUGGCAAGGAAUUUGAUUCAUGUCUGGGAUAACAUCCUCACACACACAAGCAGAAAAAAGAGGAUGCUGGAGAUACUUACUGGAGACAAGUGGCCUAUUCUUCCUCAAAGGGCCAUAAAUAUCCCCUGAGGAGUCUCUGACAGACAUAGAGUGACCAUAGUUAGCUUUACAUCACCUCCUGUAAGAGACCCCAGCACAGGGACAUGCCAGAUGCAUUGCUGGGAGUACUCAGGAAGAGGGGGUACUUGGCCAGCAUUCCUAGGCUGCUGAUACUUCUGGC
ensembl:lncRNA